UCAAACCCAAGCAAUAUAUUUUUACAGUAUCCAGUAUCCACAAAUGAAGCACAUAUUUUGAGGUAUCUGAGAUCAUUAACCACUACCCAUUACUGCUCUUAUAACUCCACUACAUAUAUAGCAAUUAGCAAAUUCUUUAGCCACCACAUAAGCAUGUUCUUGUACCACCAUCACAUACCAAUAUCUGAAUUAUUAAGAAGUCUGACUAAUUUAUUCACCCUAUAAACAAUCUACUGCUAACCCAGUCUCAAAACUCCUAUGCAUUUAUCAGUCAUAUCGAGAUUAUCAUAUCUGUUGGUACUUUAAAUGAGAGUUGUUUUAUUCCUCUUUCUUGUCCACUUGCAGAGGAAAACGUUUUUGUGAGCCUGGAGAGGGAGGUACCCCUCCACUUUUACUUCUUCCUCUUCCUUUUCCUGCUUUACAAAUGCAAUGUAAAUGAAGUUAUAUAAAAUAGAACUUCGAAACCGAAAUCCAGUAAUACCUCAUUUCCAUCAGCACAAUAGCCCUUGAGAAAACCUUUACAAAUAGAGGCAUUUACAUUCACAUUUACAUGUCUAUAAGGACAAUUUUCGUUGGAGCAUAGUCCUGUAACCAAAAAGAAAAGUAUUUUGAAAUUUUUUCAUUUCUACGUUCAGUCGAACAAAUGCACUAAACAAAACUCACCCAGCAGAUAAUAAGAGCAAUCCUGCAUCCUCUAUGGAAUGACCUGCGUGAAUAAAUACAAUCCAGGUACAAUGAAAAAUAUUAAGAUAAACAAACAAUGCAAGCAUAGCUUGACAAACACAUUAACUUGCGAUGGCCAACUUACCAAUACACCUUAUGGGUCAAUUCGCAAUUGGGAUUGGAG
rnacentral:lncRNA from 1 species